rnacentral:rRNA from 1 species
UACAGAGGUCUCGAGCGUUGUUCGGAUUCAUUGGGCGUAAAGGGCGCGUAGGCUGCGGGGCAAGUCGGGUGUGAAAUCUCAGAGCUCAACUCUGAAACUGCACUCGAUACUGCUUUGCUUGAGGACUGGAAAGGAGAUUGGAAUUCACGGUGUAGCAGUGAAAUGCGUAGAUAUCGUGAGGAAGACCAGUGGCGAAGGCGGAUCUCUGGACAGUUCCUGACGCUGAGGCGCGAAGGCCAGGGGAGCAAACAGG